rnacentral:rRNA from 1 species
CACGUAGGGGACGAGCGUUGUCCGGAUUCAUUGGGCGUAAAGCGCGCGUAGGCGGCUCGGAAAGUCGGUCGUGAAAUGCCGGGGCUCAACCCCGGGACUGCGUCCGAUACUCCCGAGCUGGAGGCAGGUAGGGGAGAUCGGAAUUCCUGGUGUAGCGGUGAAAUGCGCAGAUAUCAGGAGGAACACCAGUGGCGAAGGCGGUUCUCUGGGCAUUACCUGACGCUGAGGAGCGAAAGUGUGGGGAGCGAACAGG